rnacentral:rRNA from 1 species
UACGAAGGGGGCUAGCGUUGCUCGGAAUCACUGGGCGUAAAGGGUGCGUAGGCGGGUCUUUAAGUCAGGGGUGAAAUCCUGGAGCUCAACUCCAGAACUGCCUUUGAUACUGAGGAUCUUGAGUUCGGGAGAGGUGGAGGAGUAUCGCGAGUGUAGAGGUGAAAUUCGUAGAUAUUCGCAAGAACACCAGUGGCGAAGGCGGCUCACUGGCCGAUACUGACGCUGAGGCACGAAAGCGUGGGAGCAACAGG